AUUGAACGCUGGCGGCAGGCCUAACACAUGCAAGUCGAGCGGAUGACGGGAGCCUGCUCCUUGAUUCAGCGGCGGACGGGUGAGUAAUGCCUAGGAAUCUGCCUGGUAGUGGGGGACAACGUUUCGAAAGGAACGCUAAUACCGCAUACGUCCUACGGGAGAAAGCAGGGGACCUUCGGGCGUUGCGCUAUCAGAUGAGCCUAGGUCGGAUUAGCUAGUUGGUGGGGUAAUGGCUCACCAAGGCGACGAUCCGUAACUGGUCUGAGAGGAUGAUCAGUCACACUGGAACUGAGACACGGUCCAGACUCCUACGGGAGGCAGCAGUGGGGAAUAUUGGACAAUGGGCGAAAGCCUGAUCCAGCCAUGCCGCGUGUGUGAAGAAGGUCUUCGGAUUGUAAAGCACUUUAAGUUGGGAGGAAGGGCAGUAAGUUAAUACCUUGCUGUUUUGACGUUACCGACAGAAUAAGCACCGGCUAACUCUGUGCCAGCAGCCGCGGUAACAC
rnacentral:rRNA from 1 species